AUUGAACGCUGGCGGCAUGCCUUACACAUGCAAGUCGAACGGCAGCACGGGAGCAAUCCUGGUGGCGAGUGGCGAACGGGUGAGUAAUAUAUCGGAACGUGCCCAGUAGUGGGGGAUAACUGCUCGAAAGAGCAGCUAAUACCGCAUACGACCUGAGGGUGAAAGGGGGGGAUCGCAAGACCUCUCGCUAUUGGAGCGGCCGAUAUCAGAUUAGCUAGUUGGUGGGGUAAAGGCCUACCAAGGCAACGAUCUGUAGGUGGUCUGAGAGGACGACCAGCCACACUGGGACUGAGACACGGCCCAGACUCCUACGGGAGGCAGCAGUGGGGAAUUUUGGACAAUGGGCGCAAGCCUGAUCCAGCAAUGCCGCGUGCAGGAAGAAGGCCUUCGGGUUGUAAACUGCUUUUGUCAGGGAAGAAAUCCUCUAGGUUAAUACCCUUGGGGGGAUGACGGUACCUGAAGAAUAAGCACCGGCUAACUUCGUGCCAGCCGCCGCGGUAAAAC
rnacentral:rRNA from 1 species